rnacentral:rRNA from 1 species
UACGUAGGGGGCAAGCGUUGUCCGGAUUUAUUGGGCGUAAAGAGCGCGCAGGCGGUCGUACAAGUCGCGUGUGAAAGCCCCUGGCUCAACUGGGGAGGGUCACGCGAUACUGUUCGACUUGAAGGCAGGAGAGGGAAGUGGAAUUCCCGGUGUAGUGGUGAAAUGCGUAGAUAUCGGGAGGAACACCAGUGGCGAAGGCGACUUCCUGGCCUGUUCUUGACGCUGAGGCGCGAAAGCUAGGGUAGCAAACGGG